rnacentral:rRNA from 1 species
UUCAUGGAGAGUUUGAUCCUGGCUCAGGACGAACGCUGGCGGCGUGCCUAAUACAUGCAAGUCGAGCGGACCGACGGG